UACAGAGGGCUCGAGCGUUAAUCGGAAUCACUGGGCUUAAAGGGUCCGCAGGCGGAUUGGAAAGUAUCUUGUGAAAUACCAUGGCUCAACCAUGGAAUUGCUCGGUAAACUCCCAAUCUUGAACACGGUAGGGGCCAUCGGAACUCUAGGUGGAGCGGUGAAAUGCGUAGAUAUCUAGAGGAACGCCAAAGGCGAAGGCAGAUGGCUGGGCCGUUGUUGACGCUCAGGGACGAAAGCGUGGGUAGCAAACGGG
rnacentral:rRNA from 1 species